GAAAUGUGAAAACCACAGUUUUUUCUAUUAGCCAUAUAGGGAGCUAAAUAGUAGAAAAAAUGAAAUUUGGAGAAGGCAAUGGCAACCCACUCCAGUACUCUUGCCUGGAAAAUCCCAUGGGCGGAGGAGCCUGGUAGGCUGCAGUCCAUGUGGUCGCUAGGAGUCGGACACGACUGAGCGACUUCACUUUCACUUUUCACUUUCAUGCAUUGGAGAAGGAAAUGGCAAUCCACUCCAGUGUUCUUGCCUGGAGAAUCCCAGGGACGGGGGAGCCUGGUGGUCUGCUGUCUCUGAGGUCGCACAGAGUUGGACCCGAAUGAAGCGACUUAGCAGCAGCAGCACAGAAACUCAGAGGCUGUGACACAGCAGUCAAAAAUACAUUAGGGGCAGCAUUAAAAAGAACAAGAUGGUGGAGGAGUGGGUGGACAUGGAGUACAUCUCUCUCCACAGAUACAUCAGGAAUACAACUUCAGACACAGAAGUGCAUGCAGAACACCAGCUGAGAGCAUACAGGAGGACCUGAGCAGUGGAAAAGGAUAUAGAGAACCACGGAAAAGAUCUUUAAUGUUUCUACAAUGGAAAGUCUAUGAACUUCUACUGGAGUGGGAAAUUACAUUACUUAGAGAAGGCAGAGCACAACAAUGCUGGAGACCUGGCCAAUGUGAUCUUCUCUAAGUGGAGUAUCCACCAGUUACCAUACAAUACAUGAAGUAGCCUCAUCCAAUAAAGCCCUAUGCCUGGAAGACAACUUUGGCUUGGGUUUGGCGAUUCUAAAUGUGAGGAUUAGAGUCCAAAACUGACUCCCUGGAAAUGCUGACCAGACAGCAGUUAACAAAUCACCCUCCUGCACAAGUAGUUCCCGGACAAUCUGGGCAGGAUCAGGGCUUUCACUUCCCAUAAAUCUCCCACUGGCCAUUGUCCUUCUUUCUGGGAACCACCGUUAUUGUUUUCCAUUUUUUCUCCCUUCCUCCUUCCCCUUCCC
rnacentral:lncRNA from 1 species